rnacentral:rRNA from 1 species
GAUGAACGCUGGCGGCGUGCCUAAUACAUGCAAGUCGAGCGAACGGACGAGAGCUUGCUUCUCUGAUGUUAGCGGCGGACGGGUGAGUAACACGUGGAUAACCUACCUAUAAGACUGGGAUAACUUCGGGAAACCGGAGCUAAUACCGGAUAAUAUUUUGAACCGCAUGGUUCAAAAGUGAAAGACGGUCUUGCUGUCACUUAUAGAUGGAUUCGCGCUGCAUUAGCUAGUUGGUAAGGUAACGGCUUACCAAGGCAACGAUGCAUAGCCGACCUGAGAGGGUGAUCGGCCACACUGGAACUGAGACACGGUCCAGACUCCUACGGGAGGCAGCAGUAGGGAAUCUUCCGCAAUGGGCGAAAGCCUGACGGAGCAACGCCGCGUGAGUGGUGAAGGUCUUCGGAUCGUAAAACUCUGUUAUUAGGGAAGAACAUAUGUGUAAGUAACUGUGCACAUCUUGACGGUACCUAAUCAGAAAGCCACGGCUAACUACGUG